UUUUAAUUGAAGGCUUGUAUGAAGGGUCGGACAAGGGAUAAACUGUCUUUAAUUUUUCUUUUGAAUUUGUCUUUUAAGUGAAAAGACUUAAAUUGUUUUAAGGGACGAUAAGACCCUAUAAAGCUUUAUAUUAAUGUGCUUUUAUUUUAAUUUUUAAUGUUCAUAAAAAUAAAAGUGUUGAAAUAUUAUAUUGGGGUGAUAAGAAUAACUAAUAAACUGUUCUAAAAUAAACAAAGUUAUUUGUAGAAAUAGUAGAUCCUUUAUAUAGAUUAAAAGUUUAAGUUACUUUAGGGAUAACAGCGUUAUUUUUUUUGAGAGUUCUAAUCGAAAAAAAAGUUUGCGACCUCGAUGUUGAAUUAAAAUUUCUUUAUGGUGUAGCCGUUAUAAAAGAGAGUCUGUUCGACUUUUAAAAUUUUACGUGAUCU
rnacentral:rRNA from 1 species